AUCUACUGAACUACACCUAUUACUGAGGGAGGCUGUGUCUUGUGCUAAAAGCAGAAAAAAAUGAGUUCCAGUCAUCCUGGGAAAGGUUCAGAAGGGGAAGAGAUGGAAACAGGGAUAUUUACUACUCAACUGAGCAAGAGACCAGGGUGCUGUAGAGAUUUAUAGUGAACUGCUUUCAGGAUGGACUACAUGACGUAACUGGACACUGAAAGAAAUCCAAAUACCAAUCAGCAAUAUUGAGAAAGAACUACAUUGUUUCAGCACUGUUGCAUAUGGCCAAGAUUUAUAAAAUGCUGUGGGUCCUCCCCUCCACCAAGAGACCAGUCCUACAGUCCGGAUGCCCUUAAUGC